UGGGGAAUUUUGGACAAUGGGGGAAACCCUGAUCCAGCCAUCCCGCGUGUGCGAUGAAGGCCUUCGGGUUGUAAAGCACUUUUGGCAGGAAAGAAACGUCAUGGGUUAAUACCCCGUGAAACUGACGGUACCUGCAGAAUAAGCACCGGCUAACUACGUGCCAGCAGCCGCGGUAAUACGUAGGGUGCAAGCGUUAAUCGGAAUUACUGGGCGUAAAGCGUGCGCAGGCGGUUCGGAAAGAAAGAUGUGAAAUCCCAGAGCUCAACUUUGGAACUGCAUUUUUAACUACCGGGCUAGAGUGUGUCAGAGGGAGGUGGAAUUCCGCGUGUAGAAGUGAAAUGCGUAGAUAUGAGGAGGAACACCGAUGGCGAAGGCAGCCUCCUGGGAUAACACUGACGCUCAUGCACGAAAGCGUGGGGAGCAAACAGG
rnacentral:rRNA from 1 species